UCUGGUUUUUCACCGGCAGUCCCUCUAGAGUGCUCACCAUAACAUGUUAGCAACUAGAAGCAGGGGUUGCGCUCGUUGCGGGACUUAACCCAACAUCUCACGACACGAGCUGACGACAACCAUGCACCACCUGUACAGGGCCCUUGCGGACCCGACAUCUCUGCCGGUUUUCCCUGCAUGUCAAGCCUUGGUAAGGUUCUUCGCGUUGCGUCGAAUUAAGCCACAUGCUCCGCCGCUUGUGCGGGCCCCCGUCAAUUCCUUUGAGUUUCAGCCUUGCGGCCGUACUCCCCAGGCGGGGAACUUAAUGCGUUAGCGCCGGCACUCGGGGGGUCGCUCCCCCAAGCACCUAGUUCCCAUCGUUUACGGCGUGGACUAC
rnacentral:misc_RNA from 1 species